UACGUAGGGGGCAAGCGUUGUCCGGAUUUAUUGGGCGUAAAGAGCGUGUAGGCGGCCAUACAGGUCCGUUGUGAAAACUGGAGGCUUAACCUCCAGACGUCGAUGGAAACCGUGUGGCUAGAGUCCGGAAGAGGAGAGUGGAAUUCCUGGUGUAGCGGUGAAAUGCGCAGAUAUCAGGAAGAACACCCGUGGCGAAGGCGGCUCUCUGGGGCGGUACUGACGCUGAGACGCGAAAGCGUGGGGAGCGAACAGG
rnacentral:rRNA from 1 species